AAGGUGUUGUUCUUUGGUAGAGAGAGCUUCGCGAACAAUUUCCUCUCUCUCACUCUCGAUAGACUCUUCAUGUACAAUGGCGUCGAAUCUCCUAAAAUGGAUGCAGGUCACUAGUACAAUUUGGUUAUGGUUCUCCCAAACUCAUACAAUGUCCAUGGAGCUGCGCUUGGGGAGAAGGAACCUUGGGUGGGCAUAUGAGGUAGCUGAGGAUGUGAAAAGGUAAGUAGAACCUAAUUCUGGCUCCGGAAACGCUCUUCUGCUUCGAGGUACGUUUGAUUUCUCCUCUGUUUGCUCUCUAAUAUUUCCCUUUGGGAUGUUGAGAAUUAUUCGUCGGAGGGAGAAGAAAUUAUUCCGAGCGGUUAGGUUUACAUUGGUUUUGAAAUUAAAAUUGAUUUAAAUGGUAGUGAAAUUAGAAUUGCUUUUGGGUUCGGUUUACACUGGUUAAGAGAAGAAAACAAAAAAAUAUUCACGCGAUGGGGAUUUUGGAGACAAGUGCGUCGAUUGAAAAAGGCAUGAUGUCGAAAGGGGUACACCUACAGAAUUGCUCUCACUCGCGCAACGCUCAAUUUGUGCGACUGGGUCUGAAAUAGAGCCUUCUGAUUGGCUGAAAAACUCUAAAAAAAGUGAAAUAGUAUACAUGUUGCUAGCUCCUCUUUUAUGUUAUUAUUAUUUAUUUUUUCGUCUUCUUCUCUCAAUGUGAUGAAAGUUGUUGUUUUUUUUAAGAUACAAUUGAUUCUACUGGAAAUCCAUUCAUGUCACCAAAAGAACACAUAAUUUUGUGAAUUUGUAUGCUGGCAAAGUUUCAUUCAACAAUUCUGUGUUCAUAGAGGAUCAAAAAACAACUUUUUGGAAAGUGAUUUGACAAUACUUUGUUUAACUCUCUUGAUAACAUCACUUCAUUCACCACUGUGGUUUUAAAAGGGAUUGCUCACAAACUUCUGAUCUUCUUUUUCUGGCAUUAGAGCUUUAGAUUGAUGCUGCUGCCACAUUAUAUAUAUAUAUAUAUAUAUAUAUAUAUAUAUAUUUGAAAUGAUUGAAAUUGGGUUUCAUUGAGCUAACUAAGAUCACAUUAGAGAAAAUCAUGAAUCAGGAGGCAUCUGAUUGCUUGUGUUUAAGCUUGAAGAAAUGUUUGUUCAUUGCGCAGAUCAAAGAACAACUGGAUGCAGACAGUGUCGGUUUAUGUCUGUUGAAGGACUUUGCAUUAACGUGGUAUCAGCGGCGUUCAAGGGAAAUCCUCAGUGAACAGGCAGAUGAUGAUGUAUAAAGCCAUAUGCGAGGAGGAGCUUCAGAAUGUGGUUCAUGCCGUUGAUCAGAUGACAACAAAGACUCCUUCACAAGUUUGAAAGGCUUACACAAGUGACCAAAGCUCUCAAUGAGCCUGCAAACAUUCUUGCUGUUCUAGAUUAUGUUGCGAACCUGUCAAACAUGAAGAAGGAAGAGCUUGCGGAGUUAAGUUAUGUGAAUUCUGUGAGGUUGUUUUCUUAUACAGGUUCUAAAUUUCUUACAGACCAGUAGAAAUGGUGUCUCUCUACAGAAUUGUAACAUCAUCUCUGAUCAAAGAGACAAAAGAACAAUCAUCUUCUGUUUCUGCUGUUGUGUGUUAUAUUAUUUGUUUGUCGUUAAUGUGUUUGGACAAACUCAUUCAAUACCAAAAUCAUCUCUCAUUAA